rnacentral:tRNA from 1 species
GGGGAUCUAGCUCAUCGGUAGAGCGCUCGCUUAGCACCUUUCUUGCAAAGUGUGCGAGAGGCGCAGGGUUCGACUCCCUGGUUCUCCA